AUUGAACGCUGGCGGCAUGCCUUACACAUGCAAGUCGAACGGUAACGGGUCCUUCGGGAUGCCGACGAGUGGCGAACGGGUGAGUAAUAUAUCGGAACGUGCCCAGUAGUGGGGGAUAACUGCUCGAAAGAGCAGCUAAUACCGCAUACGACCCGAGGGUGAAAGGGGGGGAUCGCAAGACCUCUCGCGAUUGGAGCGGCCGAUGUCAGAUUAGCUAGUUGGUGGGGUAAAGGCCUACCAAGGCAACGAUCUGUAGUUGGUCUGAGAGGACGACCAGCCACACUGGGACUGAGACACGGCCCAGACUCCUACGGGAGUCAGCAGUGGGGAAUUUUGGACAAUGGGCGCAAGCCUGAUCCAGCAAUGCCGCGUGCAGGAAGAAGGCCUUCGGGUUGUAAACUGCUUUUGUCAGGGAAGAAAUCUUCUGGGCUAAUACCCCGGGAGGACGACGGUACCUGAAGAAUAAGCACCGGCUAACUACGUGCCAGCCGCCGCGGUAA
rnacentral:rRNA from 1 species